GGAGGAAGGUGGGGAUGACGUCAAGUCCUCAUGGCCCUUAUGGGUAGGGCUUCACACGUCAUACAAUGGUCGGGACAGAGGGUUGCCAACCCGCGAGGGGGAGCUAAUCCCAUAAACCCGAUCGUAGUCCGGAUUGCAGUCUGCAACUCGACUGCAUGAAGUCGGAAUCGCUAGUAAUCGCGGAUCAGCAUGUCGCGGUGAAUACGUUCCCGGGUCUU
rnacentral:rRNA from 1 species